GCCAGCCCGCUCAGAACUCAAAGGAAUUGACGGGGCCCGCACAAGCGGUGGAGUAUGUGGUUUAAUUCGAUGCAACGCGAAGAACCUUACCUGGUCUUGACAUCCCGGAGACCCUUAGGAAACUAGGGGGUGCUUCCAUCUGGAAGAAUCUGGAGACAGGUGCUGCAUGGCUGUCGUCAGCUCGUGUCGUGAGAUGUUGGGUUAAGUCCCGCAACGAGCGCAACCCUUGCCUUUAGUUGCCAGCAGUUCGGCUGGGCACUCUAAAGGGACUGCCGGUGUUAAACCGGAGGAAGGUGGGGAUGACGUCAAGUCCUCAUGGCCUUUAUGACCAGGGCUACACACGUACUACAAUGGCCGAUACAAAGGGCAGCGACACUGCGAGGUGAAGCCAAUCCCGUAAAAUCGGUCUCAGUCCGGAUUGGAGUCUGCAACUCGACUCCAUGAAGUUGGAAUCGCUAGUAAUCGUGGAUCAGCAUGCCACGGUGAAUACGUCCCCGGGCCUU
rnacentral:rRNA from 1 species